rnacentral:rRNA from 1 species
UACGAAGGGGGCUAGGCGUUGCUCGGAAUCACUGGGCGUAAAGCGCAACGUAGGCGGAUUGUUAAGUUCAGGGGUGAAAGUCCUGAGCUCAACUCCAGAACUGCCUUUGAUACUGGCGAUCUCGAGUCCGGGAGAGGUGAGUGGAACUGCGAGUGUAGAGGUGAAAAUUCGUAGAUAUUCGCAAGAACACCAGUGGCGAAGGCGGCUCACUGGCCCGGUACUGACGCUGAGGUGCGAAAGCGUGGGGAGCAAACAGG